rnacentral:rRNA from 1 species
AUGAACGCUGGCGGCGUGCCUAACCCAUGCCAGUCGAACGGAGAUUACGGACGGAAGUUUUCGGAUGGAAGCCUGUAAUUCUUAGUGGCGGACGGGUGAGUAACGCGUGGGCAACCUGCCCUAUACAGGGGGAUAGCAGCUGGAAACGGCUGGUAAGACCGCAUAAGUCGGUUAAAUCGCAUGAUUUGAUCGGGAAAUGAGCAAUCAGGUAUAGGAUGGGCCCGCGUCCGAUUAGCCAGUUGGCAGGGUAAAAGCCUACCAAAGCGACGAUCGGUAGCCGGACUGAGAGGUCGGACGGCCACAUUGGGACUGAGACACGGCCCAAACUCCUACGGGAGGCAGCAGUGGGGGAUAUUGCACAAUGGAGGAAACUCUGAUGCAGCGACGCCGCGUGAGUGAAGAAGUAUUUCGGUAUGUAAAGCUCUAUCAGCAGGGAAGAUGAUGACGGUACCUGACUAAGAAGCCCCGGCUAACUACGUG